GUCCGGCGGACGAACUUCGCCCGCGCUCCCCACCAAGGCUAUAGCCCACCCGUUUUUUGGCCAUUGUUAUGCUGGGGGGUUUUGGCACCACGACCUUCGGGCGCUUAUUUUUGGGCGCGGCUUUGCCCGCGGCUUAUUUUUGGCACCCCGAGGCCCCUCGCAAAGUCUCGCCCCAUUCCGAGUCCGGCGGACGAACUUCGCCCGCGCCCCCCACCAAGGCUAUUGCCCACCCGUUUUUUGGCCAUUGUUCCGCUGGGGGGUUUUGGCACCACGACCUUCGGGUGCUUAUUUUUGGGCGCGGCUUUGCCCGCGGCUUAGUUUUGGCACCCCGAGGCCCCUCGCAAAGUCUCGCCCCAUUCCGAGUCCGGCGGACGAACUUCGCCCGCGCCCCCCACCAAGGCUAUAGGCCACCCGUUUUUUGGCCAUUUUUCCGCUGGGUGGUUGUGGCACCACGACCUUCGGGGGCUUAUUUUUGGGCGCGGCUUUGCCCGCGGCUUAUUUUUGGCACCCCGAGGCCCCUCGCAAAGUCUCGCCCCAUUCCGAGUCCGGCGGACGAACUUCGCCCGCGCCCCCCACCAAGGCUAUAGCCGACCCGUUUUUUGGCCAUUGUUCCGCUGGGGGGUUUUGGCACCACGACCUUCGGGCACUUAUUUUUGGGCGCGGCUUUGCCCGCGGCUUAUUUUUGGCACCCCGAGGCCCCUCGCAAAGUCUCGCCCCAGUCCGAGUCCGGCGGACGAACUUCGCCCGCGCCCCCCACCAAGGCUAUAGCCCACCCGUUUUUUGGCCAUUUUUCCGCUGGGGGGUUUUGGCACCACGACCUUCGGGCGCUUAUUUUUCCGCGCGGCUUUGUCCGCGGCUUAUUUUUGGCACCCCGAGGCCCCUCGCAAAGUCUCGCACCAUUCCGAGUCCGGCGGACGAACUUCGCCCGCGCCCCCCACCAAGGCUAUAGCCCACCCGUUUUUUGGCCAUUUUUCCGCUGGGGGGUGUUGGCACCCCGACCUUCGGGGGCUGAUUUUUGGGCGCGGCUGUGCCCGUGGCCUAUUUUUGGCACACGGAGGCCGCCCGCAACGUCUGGGGCCAUUCCGAGUCCGGCGGACGAACUUCGCCCACGCCCCCCACCAAGGCUAUAGCCCACCCGUUUUUUGGCCAUUUUUCCGCUGGGGGGUCUUGGCGCCCCGACCUUCGGGGGCUGAUUUUUGGGCGCGGCUCUGCCCGUGGCCUAUUUUUGGCACACGGAAGCCGCCCGCAAAGUCUGGGGCCAUUCCGAGUCCGGCGGACGAACUUCGCCCACGCCCCCCACAAAGGCUAUAGCCCGCCN
rnacentral:lncRNA from 1 species